UUUGUGUCUUUUUUGUUUUUUGGCCCCUUCACACCACAGACCUUGUAACUGUAAGUAGGCAAUACUCCAAAGAUUUAUCCAAAUGGUAGUUUAAGUGUACUGAAACAUGUCACUGAUCUAGGAUGAAGAGGAUGAAACUGUGUCUGCUGCCUUUACAGAGGGGGAUCCAGAAAGGCAUACAGAGAGCAUGGCUGGACAGCAGCAGGAUGGUCCCUCAGCUUCCACUGCACAGACUGACACAGUGAGAUGGAUGUUCAGGAAACGUUCAUUCUGUGGAAUUCAUGUGCAACUGUAUAAUUUAAUGUCCUCUUUGUAUUCCCAGUUAUCAGUAAAACAGAUUUACAAACUGCAUUUGCUGAGAAAAAUCCAAAAAACAGAUUAGGAGGGCAGAUCUGGAAAUUGAAAUACUGGAGCACAAGUUAGAGGUGGGUGAUGGUCACAGGUGAAUUAUGUUAACUACUGGAACAUUAACUGAACUAUCUCUUUUAUUUGUAGGAAAUAAAGAAGACCAAAUGAAA